rnacentral:rRNA from 1 species
UUUGUAGAAUGAACCGGCGAGUUACGAUUUGUUGCAAGGUUAAGCGGAAAAAGCGGAGCCGUAGCGAAAGCGAGUCUGAAUAGGGCGCAUAAGUAACAGGUCGUAGACCCGAAACCAGGUGAUCUACCCAUGUCCAGGAUGAAGGUAAGGUAAUACUUACUGGAGGUCCGAACCCACGCACGUUGAAAAGUGCGGGGAUGAGGUGUGGGUAGCGGAGAAAUUCCAAUCGAACUUGGAGAUAGCUGGUUCUCUCCGAAAUAGCUUUAGGGCUAGCCUCGAGGUAAAGAGUCAUGGAGGUAG